AGCUUUGCGCAGUGGCAGUAUCGUAGCCAAUGAGGUUUAUCCGAGGCGCGAUUAUUGCUAAUUGAAAACUAAUAUUUCCCAGUGGCAGAUUAGUUACUUAGAACUCUUUCUAAUCACUGCUGUUCUUUCCUUUUUAAAAAAGG